UCUGACUUUGUCUAUUCAACUUUGGGAACAAAUAAAAUCAUUUUUAUCAAAUAUUUUGAUUUAUGUCACACUACCAUAUGUAAAUUAUUAUUAUUUUAUAUAAAUUAUUACCUAUUUCAGUUUGUCUUUGUCUAUGUUCAUAAAAUCUAUGGAGGUCAGAGGCAUAUAUACCCUCCAUAAAGCCUUGCACUUGGGUCUGGCCGGUUAGAACAUAGACAAAAGUCUGCAAUGUCAAUGCUGUCAAAGUCAUUGACGCAAUAUAUUUUGAUUUUCAAAACUAUCAGUUUUCAUAUAAAAUGAUUAAAUAACGAUUUAUGUUCUUGAAAUAGAUUUAUUGAUUAAUUUUUAAAAUUAAAAAUCCACCGCACAGUAUCUCCGCUCAGACUCGGUUAAAGUUUAAUCCAUUGUACUAAACUAAGAAACAACAAUUAUUUCAAGAGGGUGAACGUGAGCAAAAAAUCCUUGGGCGUCAUAUCAUUUCCUUGGAAAGGCUCACAAUCAAAAGGCACGGAUCCGCCACAUAAUUGUGACUAGUUGUAGUUUCCCGGUGACCAUCAACAAGACCGCUGCACUGAGCUGUGGAGCAGAAAGUGUCCGACAAUCGGAUAGAUGUAAUAACGACUUUGUCUGUCAUAUAUUCAUGUAUUUUUAGUUUUUUGGGCUGAUAUAUGUGAUAUGAUUACAAGUUACACUAAUUGCAAUUGUGGAGUAAAAUCAGAUUUACCAAAGAUCAUGUUUUAGAUAUAUAAAAAGCUAUAUUAAGUGCAAUAAAUAGUAUAUGUAUAAUUAUAUAUAAAAUAACGAAAUUUUAAUAAGGAGCAACUUA